CGUUUCGCUGGUCAAUCCAAGUUCAGUUUGGGAUAGCAAUAUCUCGGGCGUAUUCUUGUUGGUUGGCCAUUGUAAGCGUACACUGCAACCAGUUAGACAAUUGGCGAUGGGCCAAGUUGGGUAGAAGCCUCGGUGACUACUUAACGAAGUGCUUGUUUGCUCUAACUAGUAGUGAUAUUGUGUUUCUUCGGGAACAUGGUGUUGCUGGGUUAGAGUAAGUGAACUAUCACCAAAUACUGACUGGCACAAUGAAACUUGCUCUUAUGAGCGUGAUACACAAUGCGGCUACUCGUGUCUAAUGUCUACACAGUCAACCGUAGGGUUUAAGUUCGGCAUUUUUGAAUUUGGGCUUGCUUUCUACCAGUGGGGCAACUCCUGGUGUUGGUAUUGUCACCAUCUAAUCGGGUGUCGACUUGAUUUUGCGUUGUUUGGAUGUGCUACGAUUGGAUGUUAGAUCGAAGUGGUUUGCAAUUGAUUGGCAGUGAGUAGGUCGGCUUUCCGAACGACCCGUCUUGAAACACGGACC
rnacentral:rRNA from 1 species